GGUUUUCGAGCUGUACUCCAUCCAAUUUAUAAUUGUCCUUUCAUUCAAUUUAACAUUAUUUGUUUUAUUUCUUCAACUAAUAAUUUGUUUUUCAAUAUAUUUUUUUAAUGUAAAUAUUUUUCAUUCAGAGCUCAACUAAGAAAUAUCCGUUUUGACGAAUAUACAAUCUUAAGGUUACGCAUAGGCCCGCACAUGCGCAUUAAACAGAAAGCUAUAAGACAGGACCGUCUUCAAACAACCCAGGCCGCCCAGGAAGAGAGCCUCAACACGACCGAUCUUUUCCUGCACCGGAGAGACAGAGAGCAACCAUUACAUUGUGACUCCUCUCACUCUUAUCUAGGAUAUUGGUUUCCUCGGGUGGAAACAUCUAUAUCUUCAGCCACAACCCUCUCAUUGCUGCUGUUACGGUGAAUGAAGAAUUCCUCAGAGUAACCACAAUACCCCUUGAAGCAAGGUUCAUGCAGAAACUUGACGAGAAGUGCAGUGAACUAAUUCAAGUCGUCACAAAGAAGGGUGGAGCUAUCCGGGAGAAGACAAAGCUCCUGCCAAUUGUGGAAACGGUAUGUACAGAUGUUUUUUACUUUACUGCUCACUUACAUAUAUGCCUCAAUAACAAUAGAUAUAUUUUUCAAUACAUAAUCAAUUAUUUAUAGCAUUGGUCACUGAUCCGACACAGCAACCUUUUAGCCGGAGGUUUCAUAGACUUGGCACAUUCAUUCUUCAUGUUCAUGUUUUUCUACAUAUUUAUAGGUGCAGACAUCCAUUUUGGCGUAAUGGGAAUUCUUGGCUGUUUUUUCAUGGCCUUAAUAUGGUUGACACACUAAUUGACUGAUAUUGUAAUCAUUAUUUUAUCGACUGAUAUGAAAAAGUGUCCA